UACAGAGGUCUCAAGCGUUGUUCGGAUUCAUUGGGCGUAAAGGGUGCGUAGGCGGCGCGGUAAGUCGGGUGUGAAAUCUCGGAGCUUAACUCCGAAACUGCAUUCGAUACUGCCGUGCUUGAGGACUGGAGAGGAGACUGGAAUUUACGGUGUAGCGGUGAAAUGCGUAGAUAUCAGGAAGAACACCAAUGGCGAAAGCAGCUCUCUGGGACGGUACUGACGCUGAGACGCGAAAGCGUGGGGAGCGAACAGG
rnacentral:rRNA from 1 species